GACGAACGCUGGCGGCGUGCUUAACACAUGCAAGUCGAACGGAAAGGCCCUGCUUUUGUGGGGUGCUCGAGUGGCGAACGGGUGAGUAACACGUGAGUAACCUGCCCUUGACUUUGGGAUAACUUCAGGAAACUGGGGCUAAUACCGGAUAGGAGCUCCUGCUGCAUGGUGGGGGUUGGAAAGUUUCGGCGGUUGGGGAUGGACUCGCGGCUUAUCAGCUUGUUGGUGGGGUAGUGGCUUACCAAGGCUUUGACGGGUAGCCGGCCUGAGAGGGUGACCGGCCACAUUGGGACUGAGAGACGGACCAGACUCCUACGGGAGGCAGCAGUGGGGAAUAUUGCACAAUGGGCGGAAGCCUGAUGCAGAAACGCCGCGUGCGGGAUGACGGCCUUCGGGUUGUAAACCGCUUUCGCCUGUGACGAAGCGUGAGUGACGGUAAUGGGUAAAGAAGCACCGGCUAACUACGUG
rnacentral:rRNA from 1 species